GACGAACGCGGGCGGCGUGCCUAAUACAUGCAAGUAGAACGCUGAAGGAGGAGCUUGCUUCUCUGGAUGAGCUGCGAACGGGUGAGUAACGCGUAGGUAACCUGCCUGGUAGCGGGGGAUAACUAUUGGAAACGAUAGCUAAUACCGCAUAAGAGUAGAUGUUGCAUGACAUUUACUUAAAAGGUGCAAUUGCAUCACUACCAGAUGGACCUGCGUUGUAUUAGCUAGUUGGUGGGGUAACGGCUCACCAAGGCGACGAUACAUAGCCGACCUGAGAGGGUGAUCGGCCACACUGGGACUGAGACACGGCCCAGACUCCUACGGGAGGCAGCAGUAGGGAAUCUUCGGCAAUGGACGGAAGUCUGACCGAGCAACGCCGCGUGAGUGAAGAAGGUUUUCGGAUCGUAAAGCUCUGUUGUAAGAGAAGAACGAGUGUGAGAGUGGAAAGUUCACACUGUGACGGUAUCUUACCAGAAAGGGACGGCUAACUACGUGCCAGCAGCCGCGGUAAUACGUAGGUCCCGAGCGUUGUCCGGAUUUAUUGGGCGUAAAGCGAGCGCAGGCGGUUAGAUAAGUCUGAAGUUAAAGGCUGUGGCUUAACCAUAGUACGCUUUGGAAACUGUUUAACUUGAGUGCAAGAGGGGAGAGUGGAAUUCCAUGUGUAGCGGUGAAAUGCGUAGAUAUAUGGAGGAACACCGGUGGCGAAAGCGGCUCUCUGGCUUGUAACUGACGCUGAGGCUCGAAAGCGUGGGGAGCAAACAGG
rnacentral:rRNA from 1 species